rnacentral:misc_RNA from 1 species
GUAUUAUAUCGCGUUAAACGCAGAGUACAUUCCAUAAGACUUCGCUACGGCGUGUGUGUAAAGACAUAGAACCAUGGAAGGAAGACGGCGCGUCCCCCAGACCAUAGAACUACAGAGGGUGCACAGGUGUGAGUGGAUGUGUGAACAGAGUGUGCACAUGCCCCCGUUUGAGGACCAGCAACAACUCGUGUCGACAACUCUGUAAUGAUCCUUCCGCAGGUUCACCUACGGAAA